CGUGGAACAAAUUAAAGAAAAUAAUGGCAUGGGUACUCCGCUACAAGACUAACUUGAGAAAACGUGCUAAAGACUGCGGUGAUAAGGAUACUCCGCCUGAAAAACAAGAUGACACUAAAGCCUUUAAAACGAUAAGCGUUCAAGAGAUGAAUGAAGCAGAGAGAGAGAUUUUGCGAUUGGUGCAGAACGACUCUUACCCCGGCGAAAUCAGGUGUGUUGCACAAUGCGACCCACAAAAUUCCCAAGGAAAGAG